GCUGGGCACGGCAGGGCAUGCCUGUAAUCCCAAUGACUUGGGAGGCUGAGGCAGGAGGAGGAUCGCCAGUUCAAAGCCAGCCUCAG
rnacentral:sRNA from 1 species